rnacentral:rRNA from 1 species
UACAGAGGGUGCAAGCGUUAAUCGGAAUUACUGGGCGUAAAGGGCGCGUAGGCGGCCAUUCAAGUGACGGGUGAAAUCCCUCGGCUUAACCGAGGAACUGCCUGUCAGACUGGGCGGCUUGAGACCGGGAGAGGUGAGUGGAAUUCCCAGUGUAGCGGUGAAAUGCGUAGAUAUUGGGAGGAACACCAGUGGCGAAGGCGGCUCACUGGACCGGAACUGACGCUGAGGCGCGAAAGCGUGGGGAGCAAACAGG